GAUGAACGCUGGCGGCGUGCCUAACACAUGCAAGUCGAGCGAAGCACUUACUUUAGAUUUCUUCGGAAUGACGAAGUUUGUGACUGAGCGGCGGACGGGUGAGUAACGCGUGGGCAACCUGCCCUGUACAGGGGGAUAACAGUUAGAAAUGACUGCUAAUACCGCAUAAGCCCACAGCUUCGCAUGAAGCAGUGGGAAAAACUCCGGUGGUACAGGAUGGGCCCGCGUCUGAUUGGCUAGUUGGUAAGGUAACGGCUUACCAAGGCGACGAUCAGUAGCCGACCUGAGAGGGUGACCGGCCACAUUGGGACUGAGACACGGCCCAAACUCCUACGGGAGGCAGCAGUGGGGAAUAUUGCACAAUGGGGGAAACCCUGAUGCAGCGACGCCGCGUGAGCGAUGAAGUAUUUCGGUAUGUAAAGCUCUAUCAGCAGGGAAGAAAGUGACGGUACCUGACUAAGAAGCCCCGGCUAACUACGU
rnacentral:rRNA from 1 species